rnacentral:lncRNA from 1 species
AUGAAGAUUAAAGCCUAUUUGGAGGAUUUGUUCUCUGACAGUCACCUGGCUUCUGCUGAAGCAUGUGCAGAAGAACAAGCAGGGCUACGUCAAUCUCAAGCUUCUCACCUGUUUGAAAGAGAUAAAGUCCUGACUACAAGCUGGUACAUGACUCUGGCAGGAGCACUGCACUCAGACCUUCUGGAAGUGAAUGAUGACUGCACCAAAGUCAGGCGUAAAGAGCCGCUUCCCAUGUGGUUACUGUGUUCACCCACCAGCAAACUUCUCCUUGCCUGGAACCUUUCAGAGGAUCAAAGCAGAGGAGAUGGGGCCAACCUGGAACUAGAGGAUCCUUUACUCUCAGCAAGAAUCCUCCAUUCUCUAUUUACGGCAACGUUACUUCAUCGUGGAUCCUGCCCCCCAGCAAACGGCUUCCUAAGGAGCUUCAGCGUUACGCUAAACACCACAAAGAGCUUGGCCAACAAUUAUGUGCUGUGGUCAGGUUUGAUCAUUUGGAGUCGGUUCGUAGGGCCUACCAUGCCCUGAAGGCGGAAGAAGAGAAGUCUAAUGGGAACGGCAUGUGUGUGGUUCCUUUGGGUUUCCAGUCAACACAUCACCACAAGGACAAAUCACCAGAAGAAAACACACAGCCUGAGGAGGACAUACCUUUCACUGAAAAUCAACCUGAAAUCCCCAAGGACUUGCAGCAAGAACCAUCCUCUCCAAACACACGUCAACCACAAACAUCAGUGGAUACCUCCCUGCAAAGAACCUUUAACCUUUUAAGUACACGCGGCCCGAGGACGGGACGGUUCAUGUCUUCACUGCAAUAUCUCCGUCUGGGCGCAGCCAUUUUGUGCUCUUUGUUGACAACCUACACCUCGUUGGAAAGCCACUUCCCUACUCUAUUGAUUGACAGCUCGUUUGACCAUACAAAAGGAUCGAGGGCCUGUCCCUAGCCAAAAGAAUCCAAUGAGCGACUAUAUCGAGCGAAGCACCUCCCCCCACUCUUACGCUUGUAUUUUCAGCCCAUUAUAUUUGACGCUGAAUCUGAUGCAAUGGACGUAUAGCCAAUAAGAUUUCCGUCACGGGGAUGUCC